AGUGAACGCUGGCGGUAGGCCUAAUACAUGCAAGUCGAACGGCAGCACAGUAAGAGCUCGCCCUUACGGGUGGCGACUGGCGGAUGGGUAAGGAAUACAUCGGCAUCUUCUUUUUCGUGGGGGACAACGUAGGGAAACUUACGCUAAUACCGCAUACGAUCAACGGGAGAGAGCAGGGGAUCUUCAGACCUUUCGCGACUCAAUGAGACGGUGUCGCAUUAGCUAGUUGGGGGGGUAACGGCCCACCAAGGCAACGAUCCGUAGCUGGUCUGAGAGGAUGAUCGGCCACACUGGAACUGAGACACGGUCCAGACUCCUACGGGAGGCAGCAGUAGGGAAUAUUGGGCAGUGGGCGCAAGCCUGAUGCAGCAAUACCGCGUGAGUGAUGAAGGCCUUCGGGUCGUAAAACUCUGUUAUUAGGGAAGAACAUCAGUGUGUGAAACCCUCGCUAUUCUGACGGUACCCAAAGAGUAAGCACCGGCUAACUACGUG
rnacentral:rRNA from 1 species